rnacentral:lncRNA from 1 species
AUGCGGUUCCUAGUUGCGUUGCUCCUAAGUGUCGCAGUGGCGAGUGUUACGCCGCAUGAAUCUAACCCACUCAUCACCUCAGAUAAGGAGACCGACAAGAUUGACAAGACGGAGCUAGCUGGAAAAGGACAGAAACCAAUGCUUACUUCCAAAACUGAAUCUGGGGAGAGACCGGCAGGGGACUCUGACUUUUCUUUAAAGCCAGGGAAGUCUUCAGAGCUUACCGAAGCUGUGGAAACCAAGGAGACUGAAGAGGGUGAUACAGAGCCAGAAGAGGGCUCACCGCUUGAAGAAGAUAAUGAAAAGGUGUUUGACCCUUCCUCCAGUGAGAACCGAGAGGAGACACUUAGGGAGUCUGUGAAUGAUGAGAAGGAUGACUCUUAUAAGGACAGUUCUGGAAACACCAGUGCAGAGAGCAGCCACUUCUUUGCUUAUCUGGUGACUGCAGCUGUUCUUGUUGCUGUCCUCUAUAUUGCUUACCACAACAAACGGAAGAUUAUUGCUUUUGCCCUAGAAGGAAAAAGAUCCAAAGUCACUCGGAGGCCAAAGGCCAGUGACUACCAGCGUUUGAACCUAAAGCUUUGAUUAUUUUUUAUUGUCUGCAAGAACCUUGUCCUCCCUGCUGAUUUGUUUACGAAUCAAGAGAAAUGAAAAGACUGACCCCCUCUGGGGUUUGGUGGCAAGUCUGGGCUGGCCGAGACGGGGUUGCUUCAG